GCCGCGGUAAUUCCAGCUCCAAUAGCGUAUAUUAAAGUUGUUGCAGUUAAAAAGCUCGUAGUUGGAUUUCUGGUCGGAACGCCGGUCCGGCUCCGCAAGGGGUCGUGUAUUGGUUUCUCCUGCCAUCCUCAGGGGGAGCUGCACUGGUAUUCAUUUAUCGGUGUGGUUACGCCUGUCGUUUACUGUGAACAAAUUAGAGUGUUCAAAGCAAGGUGUACUUGAAUACAUUAGCAUGGAAUAAUAAGAUAGGACUUUGGUGGUUCUUUUUGAUAUUUUGUUGGUUUGCACGCCAAAGUAAUGAUUAAUAGGAGCAGUUGGGGGUAUUCGUAUUCCAUUGUCAGAGGUGAAAUUCUUGGAU
rnacentral:rRNA from 1 species